AACUUAAAGGAAUUGACGGGGACCCGCACAAGCAGCGGAGCGUGUGGUUUAAUUCGUUGCUACACGAAGAACCUUACCUAGGUUUGACAUAUAGGUUGUAGGGAACUGAAAAGGGACCGACCCUUCGGGGAGCCUAUACAGGUGUUGCAUGGCUGUCGUCAGCUCGUGUCGUGAGAUGUUCGGUUAAGUCCGCUAACGAGCGCAACCCUCGUCGUAUGUUACAAGUGUCAUACGAGACUGCCGGUAAAAAGUCGGAGGAAGGUGAGGAUGAUGUCAAGUCAGCAUGACCUUUAUAUCUAGGGCUACACACACGCUACAAUGGUCUGUACAAUGGGUUGCCAAGCCGCGAGGCGGAGCCAAUCCUAAAAAGCAGGCCUCAGUUCAGAUUGCAGUCUGCAACCCGACUGCAUGAAGCCGGAGUUGCUAGUAACCGCAGGUCAGCAAUACUGCGGUGAAUACGUUCCCGGGUCUU
rnacentral:rRNA from 1 species